ACGGAGGGUGCAAGCGUUAUCCGGAAUCAUUGGGUUUAAAGGGUCCGCAGGCGGGCUUAUAAGUCAGUGGUGAAAGCCUACAGCUUAACUGUAGAACUGCCAUUGAUACUGUAAGUCUUGAAUUCGGUCGAAGUGGGCGGAAUGUGUAGUGUAGCGGUGAAAUGCUUAGAUAUUACACAGAACACCGAUAGCGAAGGCAGCUCACUAGGCCUGGAUUGACGCUCAGGGACGAAAGCGUGGGGAUCAAACAGGAUUAGAUACCCUGGUAGUCCACGCCGUAAACUAUGAUUACUCGUUUUCGGCGAUAUACUGUCGGAGACUAAGCGAAAGUGAUAAGUAAUCCACCUGGGGAGUACGAUCGCAAGGUUG
rnacentral:rRNA from 1 species